rnacentral:rRNA from 1 species
GAUGAACGCUGGCGGCGUGCCUAAUACAUGCAAGUCGAGCGAACGGACGAGAAGCUUGCUUCUCUGAUGUUAGCGGCGGACGGGUGAGUAACACGUGGAUAACCUACCUAUAAGACUGGGAUAACUUCGGGAAACCGGAGCUAAUACCGGAUGAUAUUUUGAACCGCAUGGUUCAAAAGUGAAAGACGGUCUUGCUGUCACUUAUAGAUGGAUCCGCGCUGCAUUAGCUAGUUGGUAAGGUAACUGCUUACCAAGGCAACGAUGCAUAGCCGCCCUGAGAGGGUGAUCGGACACACUGGAACUGAGACACGGUCCAGACUCCUACGGGAGGCAGCAGUAGGGAAUCUUCCGCAAUGGGCGAAAGCCUGACGGAGCAACGCCGCGUGAGUGAUGAAGGUCUUCGGAUCGUAAAACUCUGUUAUUAGGGAAGAACAUAUGUGUAAGUAACUGUGCACAUCUUGACGGUACCUAAUCAGAAAGCCACGGCUAACUACGUG